rnacentral:rRNA from 1 species
CCUACGGGUGGCAGCAGUCGAGAAUCAUUCACAAUGGGGGAAACCCUGAUGGUGCGACGCCGCGUGGGGGAAUGAAGGUCUUCGGAUUGUAAACCCCUGUCAUGUGGGAGCAAAUUAAAAAGAUAGUACCACAAGAGGAAGAGACGGCUAACUCUGUGCCAGCAGCCGCGGUAAUACAGAGGUCUCAAGCGUUGUUCGGAAUCACUGGGCGUAAAGCGUGCGUAGGCUGUUUCGUAAGUCGUGUGUGAAAGGCGCGGACUCAACCCGCGGACGGCACAUGAUACUGCGAGACUAGAGUAAUGGAGGGGGAACCGGAAUUCUCGGUGUAGCGGUGAAAUGCGUAGAUAUCGAGAGGAACACUCGUGGCGAAGGCGGGUUCCUGGACAUUAACUGACGCUGAGGCACGAAGGCCAGGGGAGCGAAAGGGAUUAGAUACCCUUGUAGUC